AAUAAGUUCAAAUAUGCAUGAAAUGAUGAAUUAAAGAACUUCCCUUGAUUGCAUUUGAUCAUGGGCUUAGGUUGCUUCAAGAGCUAGGCAUUGUGGUGCACAGAUGAAUUAGGGUUUCCUUGGGGAACAAGCCUCAAACCUUUUGACUUGCCUUGAUCAAAAUGAUGAAUUGAGAUGUUAGGGAGGCAUAUUUGAUGGAUGAGAGCUUUGGGAACCAUUACCAUGCUUGCU
rnacentral:lncRNA from 1 species